ACAUGUUUCUUUUGCUUUUUUUAUUGAUAAAAACCUAACAUGUUUCUUGGGCUACCCAAUUCUGACCUAACCGUUCUUUGAACUUGACCAUUCAAAGUGAGAGAAAAUAAAAUUUAGAUUGGCUUGGUCAGAUUGCUCAAACUUCAACUAGAAUCCAACUAAGCAUUGAAUCAUGUUGCCAUUUACCCACUAAAAUCCAACCCAGC
rnacentral:lncRNA from 1 species